UUUGUCGCCGUAGUCCACAUUUCGUGUAUCGCGACAUCCCAGAAUCGGCGGGCGAUGCAGCGCACGUUGCGUGUCGAAGUGAGGUCGUAUCGAUUUUCCGCCCUUACGGCGACGCAGUCGUGCCGUCGCGCAGCCGCCCGACGAUUGCGGACGAAUCAGCGGAAACGCAGCCGCGCAUACGAAACGACGUUUCCUAAAGAAGGAAAUUUCGUGUACGCGGGAAAUUUUAACUCGACAACGUAAGAUGUCUGCGAUCUGAAGUUGUCCCCUACUGUUCCUGCUGAUCUAAAGAGACGCGUGAAAUUUAGCGAGUGUUCACGUCGUAAGAAGGAAAUGGAAUUACGCAAGCGUACGUUGUAUAAAAGUAAGAUAAAAUAAUGAGAGCUAUAUAAAAAUAAAAUAAAGUUCUUAUCGAUUGCAAGUCGAAAAGUAUUGUUUAUUAUUACUUAAUGAAAAAGAAGCUAGUUUGCGUUCAACUUCAAAACGAUAUACUUUUCAUAUAUUGAUCUGUGCAUAAUUUCAUCUUCGAUAAUUAACUGUGAGGCUAUCGUACCAGCGCGACGUUAAUACAAUGUCGCCGUUUCAUUCUCUAAGAUAUAUUUUUCACUCAUGUCGAUUCGAUAUUGUUUUCCCUGCGGAAAUACUCAAGUAUACGCGUGCUCCAUAUUUCACGCGCGGAAAAUUCACGGAGAUGCGAAUCGGAACGGAACGUUACGUGAUUUGAAUCGUUCCGUUUCCCGCGCUUAACGCGGCAGUUGCCUGCCGCUGGCGCCGCGACGCGUCCCAUUGGCCCGGCGCUGUCAUGUGGGCGACGUGCAGCGGGGGCCACGUGACUCCGCGCUACCGCGCUUCACUUCACUGCGCUCAUUCGCGUUCCAAACGUGGUGGAGGAUACGCGUUUGUGUAUGUGCGCGCUCUAGAACGGGACGUGUGACGUGAAAGCACUCUGCUCCGCCGCUGCUUACAUCGUAUCCGGCCGCGGGAUCCAUACGCGGUCGUCGUCGACGUCAUCGUUAGUGCCGGUGCUCGGGGCACUCCUCCAGUCGAGGAAGUCACGCCGUCGGCGGACGCCAGUCUCGUCGGGUUUCUUAUCGAUCCACUUCAAGGCCGCGGUGAGAGCUGCUCGCCGUUCCGGUCCCGGCGGACCAACCAGGAGAGGAGGACGUGAUCCCGUCGCCGGUAUCCCGAGGCGCCGGCGACCACCGGAGGCGGAUAGGCGGAUUCGCCGAGUGGUGAGAGGAA